UUUUAUAGACUGAUUAUUCUAGUUCUAGUCAGGAAAAGAGAGUAUUAGAAAUCUAUUAUGACAGCACUUCCAGCAGACAUGCCAGCUCUUUUUCCUUCUCAAGUUGGAGCUCUUUUCUUCUAGAACUUCUGUGGGUGGCCGCUGACAUCAUGCUUUCUUAGAUCUUCACUUUUUGUACAUCUGUAAAUGCUCCGGCCCUCUCUCACCCUUGCUUGUGCAUCAGUUUCCUGGAUCAGUGGACGGUGUUCUGUGCUUCCUUUCUGCUGCUUGAGUUUUUAAAAAUCGAGACUCAGAAUGCUUUCCCAUGCCCUGAAGCACCUCUCUGUACAAACAUGUGGAGCCUGCUGUGGCUGGGGGCUGUCCUCACUCUCCAGUCACAUCCGCUAUUCUGUGCCAGGAUUGAGCUAUUGGCUGCGUUUCCUUUAACCUAAUCUUUCCCUUCCUCCUGAGUGUAGAUUACCAAAGGUUGACUUUCCCAGACCUUUCCCUGAACACACCCAGCCUUCAUUCCUAGACCACAGUCCCAGUGGCACCAGUAAUUGUGGCCUCCACCCCGCUGUGUGCCCUCAGGGAUACAGUUGGGAUCCGAGAUAGCCAAGGCUGUCAUAGAGCAGGUCCUUAGAGAGAGACUCCUAAGUGACAUUUCUGUGAACAGACACAUUUGAAAGCACUUGCCUGGUGCUGUGUGAGUUGUCAAAAAUAUUAGCUGCUAUUAUGCGAGUAAAACAUGCCUCAUGCUACCAUGGAAAUUCCCCAGUGGUAGAAAGAAAUGGAGUGUUUAUUAAAGGUUCUGAAAAAUUGUCCCGUGUUGAGGGCUGCAGGGAAAUGGAGACUCACCUUUAACAAAGAAAUGUCAGUGGCUUCCUGUCCUCUUUGUUCACAUCGAUGAGGCUGAAUGCUGUGUGCACUGCACCACCCCCCCACCCUGCCCCAGCCCAGAUGUGUGCUGCUGGAGCCUCUUUGAUACUUAAGGCUCACAUAAGGCCCCGGGAAUGUAUUCAAGAUUGAAUUAGGUAAGUGACCAGAACAGAACAGAGGAGUAGAAAUUCUCAAACUUGCCUGAGAGUCUAGGAAAUUGAGUAAUUCUCAAUCAAUGAUUUCCCUGCUAUCCUGCCUGUUUUCAAAGAUGGUUGUGUAAUUGCAGCAUGAAAUGUAGCCUUGGUUUUUGUUUGGAACAACUUGAAAGUGUUUGGCCAGGCACAGUGGCUCAUGCUUGUAAUCCCAGCACUUUGGGAGGCCGAGGUGGGUGGAUCAUUUGAACCCAGGAAUUCAAGACCAGCCUGGGCAACAUGGUGAAACCCUGUCUCUACCAAAAAUAUAAAAAUUACACAGGCAUGGUGGUGCGCACCUGUGAUCCCAGCUACUCAGGAGGCUGAGGCAGGAGGAUUACUUGAGCCUGGAAGAUGGAGGUUCCAGUGAGCCGAGAUCAUGCCUGGGUGACAGAGUGAGACUUCAUAUAAAAAAAAGAAAAAAGUUUUUGAUGAAAUCUCUGGAUGUCAUAUGGUGAUGUCUUUCUACCUAAAGAUAUUGACCUAGACAGUGUGGAUAUAGAUGAGACAGAGAGGGAAGUGGAAUAUUUCAAAAGUAAGUCUGGUUCUGUCCGUCCAGGCCGGAGUGCAGUGGCGCAUUCUCAGCUUGUUACAGUGGGUAGCUAGUCAGGCGUGAGCAGGGCAGGGGAGGGCCUCCUCCAUCCACCAGGGAUGUCAGGUGACCAUCAGGUGAUGGUUAGGCAGUUGUCACACUGCCUCUCUCAAAUAAUAACUGGUCACAGCCAGCACCAGGGAAACAAGCUGGUGAUCAGCAGCUUCCCGAUAAGAUCUCAGGAAUUGGGCAAGUGGGCUCAAGCAUGUGCACUAAGGCGCAGAAUGGUGGAGUUUAACUGGUGCGUGACCUUCCAGGUACUUUACACCGGGAAGGGAAGAUCGCCUCAGGUGAGCAUGCGCACGCUCCAGUAAACACACUACGCGUGCUCCCUCCCACGUGCUAGCAGGCCACUGUGUGUGCAGGCAGCCCACCCCAAGGGAGGAAUUGGGAGAAGGGACGCAAGGCCCUGAAGUAUGCCAACACCUAGAACCCUACAUUAGAGGCCAGACGGGGCACUUGCCUCUCAAGUUGCCCACUUGGCCUCUUCCAAGUGCACUUUCCUUCCUUUUGUUUCUGCUCUAGAGCUUUGUAAUGAACUUCCACUCCUGUUCUAAAACUUGCCUCAGUCUCUUCUUCUGCCUUAUGGCCUUUGGUCAGAUUCUUUCGUCUGAGGAGGCAAUAAUUGAGGCUGCUGCAGACACAUACGGAUUCGCCGCCGGCAACUCAGUUCUGCUUGGAUUCUGCUAGACAGACCCGACAAAGACUGUCUAUCAACUGGUCCAAUUUUAGCUUGAAAAAAGCCACCUUUGCUGCCCACUGAAUGAGGACUCCCUGGAGAGGGACACGCGAGAGGCAGGCCAGGCUGCACCACCCCAAGAGCCACGCCCCUCGCUGGCGCCCCAGAGCCGUGGUGCUUGCCAAGGGCUGUGCGGAGCUGGUGCUGCCACCCCAGACCGAGAAGUUGAUGCUCGGCCCACGCUGUUAGCUCGUGUGCGUGUAGUCUGUGCGUGAGACUCCUUCGAUUGUAGCUCUGUGCUGUCGGAUUGGAACAGUAGUUCCCGCCAAGUCCUCCCACCACCGCGGCCUCGGAGACCUCGGCCGUGGCCGUGGCCAGAUAGGAGUUUGCAUCAUCCACGUGGCUCCGUUGCCUCUGCAUUGCGCCCUGUCCUGUCAUCUGUCCUCACCGGGGUAUCGGCCGUCACUCAGCUCUCCUGUGCCCCUGCGUCCCACCCUAGGCGGGCUGGGCGGGGCAGGCCUCCUUUGUUCUCCACAAUCUACUGUCUCCGAGUGUACACGUUGCGCUGUUUGUGUUUGAUCCCCCCUGACUUGUAGCCAGCUUGUGUAAGAUCCCUUGCAGAACGAGAAAGUUAAAAACAAGCCCACCCAGUACUCACACCAUCAAGUCUGUUAUAGAGUGUACGACUGUAUUAACACGGAGGCCUGCCUGGCUACUUUUUUAACAUAUUGUUAAGUAAUAUUAAAAUCAUGUCUUUCUUUUUGAAAGAUGGAAUACAUUAGUACAGCAGGA
rnacentral:lncRNA from 1 species